rnacentral:rRNA from 1 species
UACAGAGGGGGCAAGCGUUAUUCGGAAUUAUUGGGCGUAAAGGGCGCGUAGGCGGCCAUUCAAGUGACGGGUGAAAGCCCUCGGCUUAACCGAGGAACUGCCUGUCAGACUGGAUGGCUUGAGACCGGGAGAGGUGAGUGGAAUUCCCAGUGUAGCGGUGAAAUGCGUAGAUAUUGGGAGGAACACCGGUGGCGAAGGCGGCCUGCUGGGACGUGGCUGACGCUGAGGCGCGACAGCGUGGGGAGCAAACAGG